rnacentral:tRNA from 1 species
GGGCCUGUAAGCUAAUGGUAGACUCUCUCGUUUACACCGAGAUGGCGAAGGUUCGAUUCCUUCCAGGCCCA